GAGAGAGACCGACCGAGGGAGUAAGCAAGUAAAGAUAAGGACAUACGCAAUAGCUGCACGUGGCCUCGGUGCUCAUUUCCGUCGCAUCAGCUAACCUUGGAGCCUGUGGCGGAUGGGGACACAUUUUUUUAGAAUCAAACGAGCCCACCUUCACCCCAACCCCAAGGCACUCCAAAUUUUAGAAAGUGGUGGCUUGGGUCCCUUUGUGAAACACCUCAAGACCUAAAGACCAGUGAGGGUGUCGGGCUGGUCCGAGGAAUGGCCAGAUGUGACAGGAUGUUGAGUGUCUCCUUCGCUUCAGAGAGGGUUUUCUCGGCAGUCCUGAUGGCGUCCUUGGCUUGUCCCUCGGCCGUGAAGGUGUCUGCCAGCAGCUCUGCCGUGAUCUGUUGCUGUUCUCGGCCGCGCUCCACCAGCUGGGUCGUCU